GGGGAGGAGCCCAGAGCCUGAAUCAGUGUGUGUGUUAGUGGAAGCGUCUGGAAAGGCGCGCGAUACAGGGUGACAGCCCCGUACACAAAAAUGCACAUGCUGUGAGCUCGAUGAGUAGGGCGGGACACGUGGUAUCCUGUCUGAAUAUGGGGGGACCAUCCUCCAAGGCUAAAUACUCCUGACUGACCGAUAGUGAACCAGUACCGUGAGGGAAAGGCGAAAAGAACCCCGGCGAGGGGAGUGAAAAAGAACCUGAAACCGUGUACGUACAAGCAGUGGGAGCACGUUUCGGCGUGUGACUGCGUACCUUUUGUAUAAUGGGUCAGCGACUUAUAUUCUGUAGCAAGGUUAACCGAAUAGGGGAGCCGAAGGGAAACCGAGUCUUAACUGGGCGUUAAGUUGCAGGGUAUAGACCCGAAACCCGGUGAUCUAGCCAUGGGCAGGUUGAAGGUUGGGUAACACUAACUGGAGGACCGAACCGACUAAUGUUGAAAAAUUAGCGGAUGACUUGUGGCUGGGGGUGAAAGGCCAAUCAAACCGGGAGAUAGCUGGUUCUCCCCGAAAGCUAUUUAGGUAGCGCCUCGUGAAUUCAUCUCCGGGGGUAGAGCACUGUUUCGGCAAGGGGGUCAUCCCGACUUACCAACCCGAUGCAAACUGCGAAUACCGGAGAAUGUUAUCACGGGAGACACACGGCGGGUGCUAACGUCCGUCGUGAAGAGGGAAACAACCCAGACCGCCAGCUAAGGUCCCAAAGUCAUGGUUAAGUGGGAAACGAUGUGGGAAGGCCCAGACAGCCAGGAUGUUGGCUUAGAAGCAGCCAUCAUUUAAAGAAAGCGUAAUAGCUCACUGGUCGAGUCGGCCUGCGCGGAAGAUGUAACGGGGCUAAACCAUGCACCGAAGCUGCGGCAGCGACACUGUGUGUUGUUGGGUAGGGGAGCG
rnacentral:rRNA from 1 species